rnacentral:piRNA from 1 species
GGGGAUAUAGCUCAGUUGGUAGA